GGCCCCAGUGCAGCAGCAACAGCACAUGAUGGAGACGAUGAUGAGGAGGAGACCAUCUCUCUGGAUUCCAGAAGGCAUGAGGACCCAGAUGCUAUACAGUGGGAAAACCAGCCUGGCAACAUAAGCUCACAAGCUAUCAGGAAGUUGUAUGGCAACCACCUCCGGCGCCAAAUAGAACUGGCAGACAUAGACAUUCAGUACAAGAAGAAAAAGAUGGAAAAUCUUGCACUGAG